rnacentral:rRNA from 1 species
CUUUCCUACGGGACGCUGCAGUGAGGAAUAUUGGUCAAUGGGCGGUAGCCUGAACCAGCCAAGUAGCGUGAAGGAUGAAGGUUCUAUGGAUUGUAAACUUCUUUUAUAAGGGAAUAAAGUGAGGCACGUGUGCCUUUUUGUAUGUACUUUAUGAAUAAGGACCGGCUAACUCCGUGCCAGCAGCCGCGGUAAUACGUAGGAUCCGAGCGUUAUCCGGAUUUAUUGGGUUUAAAGGGAGCGUAGAUGGGUUGUUAAGUCAGUUGUGAAAGUUUGCGGCUCAACCGUAAAAUUGCAAUUGAUACUGG